rnacentral:rRNA from 1 species
GACGAACGCUGGCGGCGUGCUUAACACAUGCAAGUCGAGCGAGUGGAUUCCCUUCGGGGAUGAAGCUAGCGGCGGACGGGUGAGUAACACGUGGGCAACCUGCCUUAUAGAGGGGGAUAGCCUUCCGAAAGGAAGAUUAAUACCGCAUAACAUCAGAUUAUCGCAUGGUAGACUGAUCCAAGGAGCAAUCCGCUAUAAGAUGGGCCCGCGUCGCAUUAGCUAGUUGGUGAGGUAACGGCUCACCAAGGCGACGAUGCGUAGCCGACCUGAGAGGGUGAUCGGCCACAUUGGGACUGAGACACGGCCCAGACUCCUACGGGAGGCAGCAGUGGGGAAUAUUGCACAAUGGGGGAAACCCUGAUGCAGCAACGCCGCGUGAGUGAUGAAGGCCUUCGGGUUGUAAAGCUCUUUGAUCAGGGACGAUAAUGACGGUACCUGAAGAACAAGCCACGGCUAACUACGUGCCAGCCGCCGCCGUAAUAC